rnacentral:rRNA from 1 species
GCCUAGUCAAGAUGAAGCCAGAGGAAACUCUGGUGGAUGUCUGAAGUUAUUCUGACGUGCAAAUCGAUAAUCUGAUCUGGGUAUAGGGGCGAAAGACUAAUCGAACCAUCUAGUAGCUGGUUCCUUCCGAAGUUUCCCUCAGGAUAGCAAGCGUACACCUUUAGUUUCAUCCCGUAAAGCGAAUGAUUAGAGGCCUUGGGGCGUAUUUAGCCUCAACCUAUUCUCAAACUUUUAAUGGGUGUGAGUGUUCUUUCUCAAUUGAAGAACGCUGCUAAAUAAGUAUGCUUAGUGGGCCAUUUUUGGUAAGCAGAACUGGCGCUGUGGGUUGAACCAAUUGUUGAGUUAAAGUGCCUAAAGCUGGAAUGCGCAUGAGAUCUAUAAAGGGUGUUAGUUGCUGAAGACAGCAGGACGGUGGCCAUGGAAGUCGAAC